rnacentral:rRNA from 1 species
UAAUACGGGAGUGGCAAGCGUUAUCCGGAAUUAUUGGGCGUAAAGCGUCCGCAGGCGGUCUGUCAAGUCUGCUGUUAAAGCGUGGAGCUUAACUCCAUUUCGGCAGUGGAAACUGACAGACUAGAGUGUGGUAGGGGCAGAGGGAAUUCCCGGUGUAGCGGUGAAAUGCGUAGAUAUCGGGAAGAACACCAGUGGCGAAGGCGCUCUGCUGGGCCAUAACUGACGCUCAUGGACGAAAGCCAGGGGAGCGAAAGGGAUUAGAUACCCCUGUAGUCCUGGCCGUAAACGAUGAACACUAGGUGUCGGGGGAAUCGACCCCCUCGGUGUCGUAGCCAACGCGUUAAGUGUUCCGCCUGGGGAGUACGCACGCAAGUGUGAAACUCAAAGGAAUUGACGGGGGCCCGCACAAGCGGUGGAGUAUGUGGUUUAAUUCGAUGCAACGCGAAGAACCUUACCAGGGUUUGACAUCCUGCGAAUCUCUUGGAAACGAGAGAGUGCCUUCGGGAACGCAGUGACAGGUGGUGCAUGGCUGUCGUCAGCUCGUGUCGUGAGAUGUUGGGUUAAGUCCCGCAACGAGCGCAACCCACGUCGUUAGUUGCCAGCAUUUAGUUGGGCACUCUAGCGAGACCGCCGGUGAUAAACCGGAGGAAGGUGUGGAUGACGUCAAGUCAUCAUGCCCCUUACAUCCUGGGCUACACACGUACUACAAUGCUACGGACAAAGGGCAGCAAACUCGCGAGAGCUAGCAAAUCCCAUAAACCGUGGCUCAGUUCAGAUCGUAGGCUGCAACUCGCCUACGUGAAGGAGGAAUCGCUAGUAAUCGCAGGUCAGCAUACUGCGGUGAAUACGUUCCCGGGCCUUGUACACACCGCCCGUCACACCAUGGAAGUUGGCCACGCCCGAAGCCGUUACUCCAACCCUUGUGGAGGAGGACGUCGAAGGUGGGGCUGAUGACUGGGGUGAAGUCGUAACAAGGUAGCCG